GCCUAAUACAUGCAAGUCGAGGGGCAGCGCAGGGUAGCAAUACCUGGGCGGCGACCGGCAAACGGGUGCGGAACACGUACGCAACCUUCCUUUAAGCGGGGGAUAGCCCAUAGAAAUGUGGAUUAAUACCCCUUAAGAUCAUGGUCUGGCAUCAGGCAGUGAUUAAAGCUCCGGCACUUAAAGAUGGGCGUGCGCCUGAUUAGGUAGUUGGUGAGGUAACGGCUCACCAAGCCGACGAUCAGUAACUGGCGUGAGAGCGCGACCAGUCACACGGGCACUGAGACACGGGCCCGACUCCUACGGGAGGCAGCAGUAAGGAAUAUUGGUCAAUGGACGCAAGUCUGAACCAGCCAUGCCGCGUGGAGGAUGAAGGUCCUCUGGAUUGUAAACUUCUUUUAUCUGGGAAGAAAUGCCGAUUUUCUAAUUGGUUUGACGGUACCAGAUGAAUAAGCACCGGCUAACUCCGUGCCAGCAGCCGCGGUAAUACGGAGGGUGCAAGCGUUAUCCGGAUUCACUGGGUUUAAAGGGUGCGUAGGCGGGAAUUGUAAGUCCCGUGGUGA
rnacentral:rRNA from 1 species